rnacentral:rRNA from 1 species
CCCUUAGAUGUUCUGGGCUGCACGCGCGCUACACUGAUGCACUCAACGAGUUUACGACCUUGCCCGAUCGGGUUGGGUAAUCUUUUUAAAAUGCAUCGUGAUGGGGAUAGAUUAUUGCAAUUAUUAAUCUUCAACGAGGAAUUCCUAGUAAGCGCGAGUCAUCAGCUCGUGCUGAUUACGUCCCUGCCCUUUGUACACACCGCCCGUCGCUCCUACCGAUUGAGUGCUCAGGUGAAUAAUUCGGACUGCAGCAAUGUUUGGAUCCCAAACGUUGCAGCGGAAAGUUUAGUGAACCUUAUCACUUAGAGGAAGGAGAAGUCGUAACA